GACGAACGCUGGCGGCGUGCUUAACACAUGCAAGUCGAGCGGUAAGGCCCUUUCGGGGUACGACGAGCGGCGAACGGGUGAGUAACACGUGGGUGGACCUCGCCCUCCAGCUCUGGGAGUAAGCCUGGGAAACCGGGUACUAAUACUGGAUAUGACUCCAUGACGCAUGUUGGUGGGGUGGAAAGCCUUGUGCGGCUGAGGAUGGGCCCGCGGCCUAUCAGCUUGUUGGUGGGGUGAGGCCUACCAAGGCGACGACGGGUAGCCGGCCUGAGAGGGCGACCGGCC
rnacentral:rRNA from 1 species